UGUGCCCCCUGCAUUGGCAGGCAGAUUCUUAACUACUAACUAUAGUUUGGUAGAACUUAGAAAUGUUUCUGAAGGCUAGACAGUCUGGGCCCUAAUCUGCACUGUGAUUAAAAUUCAGCCACACGCCUCUUGCUGGGAAACGCUGCGGUGGAGCCAUCAGCGCCCGCCACGCAGCUGCCUCCUGCUCUUCAAACGGGGCCCUGUGAGCACAAGGUCCUUGCGUCAGCUUCCUGGGCUUUGUGAGCCCUUCAGAUCGUAGGCAGACAUCUGAGUGUCUGUGCUCUGGACAUUUUUCUGGAGAGAAGCUCACAGCUUUAAUCGAUUUACAAAGAGCUGCAGGAUGUGAAAGGUUGAGAGUCGUUGGCUAAAAGCAUCAGGAAUCCGGACUCCAGAGAAAUCAGAUCUUCGCAACCAGUUGCUAAGCGUCUUUGCAGCAUUUACAGACAGAGAGGGGUUGGGCUCCUGUUCCCUGGGUUUAUGCGUGUAUUUUUUUUCAAUGUGAAAGAGCUUCUAAGCUGCAGGAUCUAAGUUCCUCCAGGUCGAAGAAACAAAGGCCCAGAGACAAAACUCACCAAACCCACAGAGCCAGCAGCCCCAGUGGAGAUCCCACUGAAGCACAGUGGGGUCCGAGCCAGCCCCUUGAAUGGAUGGAGACAGAGCCCCUCAGCAGACAGAAGAGGAGGAUAGCUCUGAGCCCUGAGGCCAGUGCCCUCUGCAGUUUCCCAGGGACUGGAGCUCCAUGCCUGCUAGAUACAGAGGGCUAACAUGGAUCCUGGGUGGGCUUGAUCAGCACGCAGACUGAGCCUCCUUUAGCCCGUUUCCCUGCCCUUUUGCACAGGCACUGAAGACAAGUUAUAGGACAUGAAGACAAGUUACAGGACAUGAGAAGAAACCCCAGCUGGCCUCCCCAUCAGCAGGUGAGCAGGUGGAGGCAUCCUGACCAGAUGCCAGAGCAGUUUAAGAUGUCACUUCAUCCGGAGGGCAGAGGACAAGCAGGAGACCAACAGAGGCCCAGAUGGUCCAAGGAGCACUGAGUGAGGACCAGACCAGAGCUCCAGCCCAUGCGCCUGGGACCUGAAGCAGUUUCCUCAUCCGCACUGCAGCUGAAAUGACCCCUGACUGUCCGGGUUAAGGACGGCGGCAGCACUUCUCCCUGGAACGCUGUGUUGAGAAGGAUUCUGAGGCUGUGGUUAAUUCGUGAUGUCUGUCGGGGAGAACCAGAGAUUGCUUAUCAAUGUCUUGUUACUUCUCUACCAUCCUGAUGAAGAGCAACAGACAGGGGUCGUUUGUCAGGGCUCUUCCAGAUCCCAAAUUCUACCAGUCUAUGAUUUCGAAGUUAAAAUUUCCAGGCACUGGCUGGAAGCACCGGAAGUUAGAGGAGGAAGCGAUGAGGAGGAGGCCAGCAUCACUGGAACACGCUGUCUCUGUCUGGGACAAACGGGAUCAGACGUGUGAGGUCGUAGUGGUGCCUGAAAACCAGAACUGACUCCGUGGGAAGCCGCAGAACCAGAUGCUCUGGCACCAUUAUUCCAGGGGCC